UACGUAGGUGGCGAGCGUUGUCCGGAAUUACUAGGUGUAAAGGGCGUGUAGGCGGGUUUGAAAGUCAGAUGUGAAAGCCCAUGGCUUAACCAUGGAACUGCAACUGAAACUUCGAAUCUUGAGUACUGGAGAGGAAAGCGGAAUUCCUAGUGUAGCGGUGAAAUGCGUAGAUAUUAGGAGGAACACCAGUGGCGAAGGCGGCUUUCUGGACAGAAACUGACGCUGAGGCGCGAAAGCGUGGGGAGCAAACAGG
rnacentral:rRNA from 1 species